UUGCGUUAUGUGUGACCUAUGACCUCUUGGAUCACUAGGUAGUCCUUGAUUACAAAGGCCUUAAUUCUUUACAGCAAACGAGUUAAGGCCCCUGUGAUCAGCGAUGACCUAGUUGCUCAAUUGGGCACAGUGUCUCUUCGCGAGG
rnacentral:pre_miRNA from 1 species